GUGGGGAAUCUUCCGCAAUGGACGAAAGUCUGACGGAGCAACGCCGCGUGAGUGAUGAAGGUCUUCGGAUUGUAAAGCUCUGUUAAUCGGGACGAAAGAGCCUAGUGUGAAUAAUGCUAGGAAGUGACGGUACCGGAAUAGAAAGCCACGGCUAACUACGUGCCAGCAGCCGCGGUAAUACGUAGGUGGCAAGCGUCGUCCGGAAUUAUUGGGCGUAAAGCGCGCGCAGGCGGAUCUGCCAGUCUGUCUUAAAAGUUCGGGGCUUAACCCCGUGAUGGGAUGGAAACUACAGAUCUAGAGUAUCGGAGAGGAAAGUGGAAUUCCUAGUGUAGCGGUGAAAUGCGUAGAUAUUAGGAAGAACACCAGUGGCGAAGGCGACUUUCUGGACGAAAACUGACGCUGAGGCGCGAAAGCCAGGGGAGCGAACGGGAUUAGAUACCCGGGUAGUCC
rnacentral:rRNA from 1 species